rnacentral:siRNA from 1 species
UAGUUUGGUGCUACAUGAUCC